CUCGGGCCGGGCUCCGGGCGGUUCUCGAGCUGCAGUUCCAACGGGACUUCCGCGCUUCGGCGGCCUUUCUGACGAGCCGCCGCGCCCAGAGAUGUUCAGGUUGGAGCGACACUUCCCAGAGGGCAGCGGUCACUCCAGAUCUUCGGCUUCCAUUCCGUGUUCGCGCGGUUCUCCCUCUUUGCAGGCUGCUUGGCUGCAAGAGGGAAGUAGGACAUUGAGCCCUAAAGGAAGAUUUCCAGCCAGGGGGCACCGAGCCAAGCAGCUGUGAGGAGAGAAGAGGAGGAAGCGCCAGGGAGCCCAGAGCCACCAGACAGUGACGCCACAGAGCCACAGCCAUCACACCCGCACAGACACACACCGUCCUCCGCCGUUCAGGCCCGAGAGUCCCGUGAGGACUGGUGUCCCUACUACUGGCCUCCACGCUGUGAGCGCUUCCACUGCCACCCCUCCUGGUUCACGUCGGGCUCCGAAGUGACUCGCUUCACAGGAUUCCCGCAUCCUGUGCUAACACAUCCACAAAUGAGCUCCACUCACCCUGCAAAGAGGGAGAACCGCGCGAAAACGGAAAUGGAAGCCGAAGAUCUGGAGUGACCGCUGCCCUCUGGGAAGUGUCGCUCCAACCUGAACAUCUCUGGGCGCGGCGGCUCGUCCAAAAGGCCGCGGAAGUCCCGUUGGAACUGCAGCUCGAGAACCGCCCGGAGCCCGGCCCGAGCGCAGGUCUCUCCUCCAGGAGCGCGACGCGAGGGCGCGUGCGCGGGCACGGAGCCUGCGCGGAGGCCGCUGGUGCGCCCAGGAGGCCGAGCAGGGGGGUCCGGCGCCGGCUCCGAGCGUCCGGCCUGUGCGCGCAGAGCCGCGGGGGAGGAUCGGCGGGGCGGCCCCGGGGCGAGAGCGCACGGCGGGUGUGAGCUCUGAGGGCGGGCCCCGGGCGAGUCCCCUCAGGCGGCUGCAGCCUGGGGACAGCAUAUGGGGCAAGCAACUCCUGAUCCCGCCGGGGAUGGGCUGGUUUAUUCAGUGUCUGUUAGCUGCGUU
rnacentral:lncRNA from 1 species